rnacentral:rRNA from 1 species
UACGUAGGGUGCAAGCGUUGUCCGGAAUUAUUGGGCGUAAAGAGCUCGUAGGCGGUCUGUUGCGUCGGCUGUGAAAACCCGGGGCUCAACCCCGGGCCUGCAGCCGAUACGGGCAGACUAGAGUUCGGCAGGGGAGACUGGAAUUCCUGGUGUAGCGGUGAAAUGCGCAGAUAUCGGGAGGAACACCGGUGGCGAAGGCGGUUCUCUGGGCCUGACCUGACGCUGAGGAGCGAAAGCGUGGGGAGCGAACAGG